AGAUAACCAUGGUUAAUAAAUCGUCAGUAAUGACACGUCACUGGCUUUAAAAUAUAAACCCCAUUGAUGCAAAAAGAUGCUGCAUGGAAUGACAAUGAGGUUUGGAACAGACUUGGUGAAGAACAUGGAAACAUCUCUAAAUAAAAUGGCCCCAACCAUCAUCAGGAGUGCAAAAGAAUGAAGUAAAAAACAUCUCUACGCCAAUCUCAUUGGAACAGCAGAGGAAACCACAGAAGGUCUGGUGAGGAAUGCUGCACUUAUGUUAUUGCAAGCAUUAUUUUAAGAAAAUCCCAGCUUCCUUUAAUGUGUAAAUAGUGAACCCAAAGGUCCCACACCAACCAUAGUGUUCAACGGCUCUCCUGAUCCUCUCAAAGCUGAAAGUAUCAACUUUAUAAUGGACAAUGUGAACAUAAUAUGUGGAAGACAUUGACAUCACAGGCUGUGGAAUGACUGUUUGCGGGUUUUUUUCUCUUCAAUGUUCAAUACCCUUUUGCCAUUAAGCACACAGUGACUUUAAUUUAUAAAAUGUAUGCUUAAAUUUAAAUACCUGUACAAAACAAAUGUACAAUCAACUUGUGUAAAUUGUCAUUCUAUUUAAUAGAUUGUUCAUGAAUUGUCUUUAAAUGCAUUGUGAUUUCUUUUCAUCAUUUCAGACACAUGUAAAAGUUACUAAAAAUGAGUACUGCAUAUACUGUACAGUAUCUUUGUUUAUAAAAACAGAAAAUGCGUAAGGGAAAUAACUUGAACAAAAUUUUUGAAUGUAUAGUGUAAUUAAGAGUUUAGCUGUUUAAUACAGAGAUGCAAUUUUAAUAUAUAUAUAUAUAUAUCACAUGUAUGUUUAUUAAAAAGUGAAAAUGCUUAAUGGAAAUAAUUAAAUAAGUAAAUGGUUGAAUGAAAUGAGACAUUUUAAAUGUAAACUAAAUGUUUUGCUGUCUAAUACAGAAUAAAGAGAUGUGAUUUUAAGUAAUUUUUAUAGAUUUAUAUUUCUGUAUAAUACAAUUAAUAAAUAGUAAACUUUUAUAAUUUUCUGGAUCGGUUAUAAUUUCUUAUCAAUAAUAAAUUACUCAUAAUUAUAAAGAACCUUUAAUGGUUCUAAA